UUCAUAUGAACGAAAUCAGCAAGGGGGGAAGCCAUAGUUAGGGUUUUCAAGCUUCCAAGCUCCAUAAUCAAGAAGUACGAAACUCGAGGUUAGACAAAGGGAAGAAUAAAGUUGAAGACUAAGUUGGUGAAUUUGGCUAUAAUUGGUACCGAGUAUUGCAAAGCUACUUCAAGGAUCCUAAAGAAGUCGGAGAUCGUCCACACUAUCAACCACAACUGCUCGGUAUUUUAUGUCAAAACACGUUUGAGUUAUGGCAUGUAUAGGGAUUUAGUUAUUUUGUAUGUUUGUAAUGAUGAUUUUGCUAAUGAGUGAUGUGUAAGUAUUUGAUGAUGUAUGAUCAUUAAAAUGGUUAAGGAUGAAGGUGUUUGUUGUUAUGAAA